CACGCAGGCGGUUUGUUAAGUCAGAUGUGAAAUCCCCGGGCUCAACCUGGGAACUGCAUCUGAUACUGGCAAGCUUGAGUCUCGUAGAGGGGGGUAGAAUUCCAGGUGUAGCGGUGAAAUGCGUAGAGAUCUGGAGGAAUACCGGUGGCGAAGGCGGCCCCCUGGACGAAGACUGACGCUCAGGUGCGAAAGCGUGGGAGCAAACA
rnacentral:rRNA from 1 species